UCUUUCUCUUUUCUCUUUUAUUUUUGUUUUGAACCUGAACCGACUGGCCUACAACCAGGAGCAUGGUUCAGCCCAUCUAUGUAGCAGGGCCGGCUUAAAAGGAACAACCCAGCCCGAGCCCUCUGACACCUCCAUCUUCAACCAACUUGCAGCAAAAUCGACACUAAACUUUAAUUUGAUACAAGUUGGUAAUUGAAGUUCUAUGGUAAAAAUAUCCUAAUCGACACUGAUCUUUAAUUUGAUACAAGUUGGUAAUUGAAGUUCGAUAGUAAAAAUAUCAUAAUCGACUUUGAACUCAGCAAGCUGACAAAAGCCGGCGCAUGAGCCCACCACCAAGUUCCAUUUGGCUCUUUGGACGACCUGGGCGGCUGGGCUCUACCCAUUUGUCAAUGAACCAAGCCUGGGUUGGCUCGUUGACAAGGAGACCAUACCCUACUCGACCCAUGGGCCAUGCCUGUAUAGUACAUUAAAUUAUAAAGACUCUUAACCCAUCUACUGGACUCGAAAUCUGUUUUUGCAAAGCUAGAUAGUAACACAGAUUUACUUUAGUUUGAUUGAGAAAAUUGAAGUGCGAUUCUUACAAACGAUUAAGCCUACUGUGAUUGCACAAAUCACAUCACUGAUCGUUAUCACAAAAGACCCAUUUGACAUGACUUUUGCUUCCUGUAAAAGAGUUUUUGGAUGAAAUUAUCUUAUUUUUUGUUUGAAAACAAUUUUUUUAUUUUAAAAAAAUUAAUCUAUUUAUUCUAGAAGUGUUUUUAGAGGAAAUCACAUUCAACCAGCUUAC
rnacentral:lncRNA from 1 species